rnacentral:rRNA from 1 species
CUCCCACCACGAGAGUGGGUAAGGCUCCCGGUAGACGACCGGGUUGAUAGGCCGGAGGUGGAAGCGCGGUAACGUGUGGAGCUGACCGGUACUAAUAGGCCGAGGACUUGACCAC